GAUGGUUUGAUCAUGGCUCAGGACGAACGCUGGCGGCGUGCUUAACACAUGCAAGUCGAACGGAAAGGCCCUUUCGGGGUACUCGAGUGGCGAACGGGUGAGUAACACGUGGGUGAUCUGCCCUGCACUUUGGGAUAAGCCUGGGAAACUGGGUCUAAUACCGAAUAGGACCACGCGCUUCAUGGUGUGUGGUGGAAAGCUUUUGCGGUGUGGGAUGGGCCCGCGGCCUAUCAGCUUGUUGGUGGGGUAAUGGCCUACCAAGGCGACGACGGGUAGCCGGCCUGAGAGGGUGACCGGCCACACUGGGACUGAGAUACGGCCCAGACUCCUACGGGAGGCAGCAGUGGGGAAUAUUGCACAAUGGGCGCAAGCCUGAUGCAGCGACGCCGCGUGAGGGAUGACGGCCUUCGGGUUGUAAACCUCUUUCAAUAGGGACGAAGCGCAAGUGACGGUACCUAUAGAAGAAGCACCGGCCAACUACGUGCCAGCAGCCGCGGUAAUACGUAGGGUGCGAGCGUUGUCCGGAAUUACUGGGCGUAAAGAGCUCGUAGGUGGUUUGUCGCGUUGUUCGUGAAAACUCACAGCUUAACUGUGGGCGUGCGGGCGAUACGGGCAGACUAGAGUACUGCAGGGGAGACUGGAAUUCCUGGUGUAGCGGUGGAAUGCGCAGAUAUCAGGAGGAACACCGGUGGCGAAGGCGGGUCUCUGGGCAGUAACUGACGCUGAGGAGCGAAAGCGUGGGGAGCGAACAGGAUUAGAUACCCUGGUAGUCCACGCCGUAAACGGUGGGUACUAGGUGUGGGUUCCUUCCUUGGGAUCCGUGCCGUAGCUAACGCAUUAAGACCCGCCUGG
rnacentral:rRNA from 1 species